GCAGGCCUAAUACAUGCAAGUCGGACGGUGAUUGGGGAGACUUGCUCCCCGUGAGAGUGGCGAACGGGUGCGUAACACGUAUGUAACCUACCUUUAUCUGGGGGAUAGCCUCUCGAAAGAGAGAUUAACACCGCAUAACAUCACUUAACGGCAUCGUUGGGUGAUCAAAUAUUUAUAGGAUAGAGAUGGACAUGCGGGACAUUAGCUAGUUGGAGUGGUAACGGCACACCGAGGCGACGAUGUCUAGGGGAUCUGAGAGGAUGACCCCCCACACUGGUACUGAGACACGGACCAGACUCCUACGGGAGGCAGCAGUAAGGAAUAUUGGUCAAUGGGCGGAAGCCUGAACCAGCCAUGCCGCGUGCAGGAAGACUGCCCUAUGGGUUGUAAACUGCUUUUGUACGGGAAUAAACCUUGAUACGUGUAUCAAGCUGAAUGUACCGUAAGAAUAAGGAUCGGCUAACUCCGUGCCAGCAGCCGCGGUAAUACGGAGGAUCCAAGCGUUAUCCGGAUUUAUUGGGUUUAAAGGGUGCGUAGGCGGCCUGUUAAGUCAGGGGUGAAAGACGGUAGCUCAACUAUCGCAGUGCCCUUGAUACUGACGGGCUUGAAUA
rnacentral:rRNA from 1 species